rnacentral:lncRNA from 1 species
ACGGUGUAGUUGGUAGUGGGGCUGGGAACUAGCUCGCGGAGGCCGGAUGAGCGGCCGGUGCCCUCCGGGCUAUGCGGGAGGAGUUUCGCUUUCCCCGCCGCUGCACCCCGCCCUCAACCCGUACUUUUCCAGGCACUCGGGAGGUGAUGAUUAACUCGGGCCUCGCCUUAUCUCCCCCCGCCCGGGUGCCCCCUCGGUCCACACCCUGCUCCGCCGCCCCCUUCCGACUCGGCGGGCCGGGGCGUGCCCGCCGCGCUCCAGUUACUGUCAACAGUGGCUGGAGACCCCUCGGCACGCCAGCCCCCGCUGCUCCCUAUCGCCGGUCCCCUGGCGAUCCUUAUCGCUCGCCCGGUCCUGGGACCCCCGCCGCGUGCACUGCAGCCCGCCCCUCAAGCAGCCCUCGCCUUAAGGCAAGGCCUUUGCAGAACGCCUCUUAUGUUCCUUCUAACUCCUCUUUCCUCUUCAAACACACGGCAAAACUGCGGAGAAGAAAAAUACCACUGUGAUGAGACGUCUGAAAGAACAGAACCGGCUUUCCGGGAGGCUGUUUGGAGCGUCACUGAUUU